rnacentral:misc_RNA from 1 species
UCAAAACCUGCAAAACAGAACGACCCCUGAACUCGUUCAAACACCGGGGGCGUAUGUGGCGAGGGUGCUUCGGCUCCCUCCCUCCCGUCCAUGAAUGCGUGCUUACGUACUCAUUUUCGGGCAGCUAACGAACACCGGCAGGGAAAGCACCAAGGAUUACUUAAUUGGUAGCUCGCCCCUCGUACCCCAUCCGCAGAGCGCGCAUGGGGAUGUGUGCUUCUAUCAAAAUGAAAAGACCCUCGACAACGGAUAUCUCAGCUCUCGCAUCGAUGAAGAACGUAGAGAAAUGCGAUACUUGGUAUGAAUUGCAGAAUCCCAUGAACCAUCGAGUUUUUAACGCAAGUUGCGCCCAAAGCCAUUAGGCCGAGGGCAUGUCUGCCUGGUUAUCACGCAUCACGUCACCCCCCACACGCCACACGACAUCGUGGGGUAGAUACUGGCCUUUUGCAUGCCUCGAGCUCACGGCUGGCCCAAAUGCGAGUCCACGUCAAUGGGCUUCGUGGCAUGUGGUGGUUGAAACUCAACUCUCUUGGUGCCACGCCUAAGGCCCAUCGCGCGUCUGGACU